UGCAGAAGGGGCAGGGCAGGCCUCCAAAGCAGGAGGAGAGCUCGGAGCUCCGGGAGGUGUUUGAGGACGUGGCUGUGUAUUUCACACGGGAGGAGUGGGAGCUGCCGGACGAUGAAGACAAGGUGCUUUACCAGGAGCAGAUGGUGAAGAAUCACCAAGCCCUCGUUUCCCUGGGAUAUCAAGGUCCCACUCCUGACUUAAUCUGCAGCAUCCAGCAAGGACAGGUGGAGCUCUGGGUCUGUGAUGAUGAGGGCCAACCACAAAUCUCAAG